AGUAGAAAUGGGCUCCAGGCGGGCGGGAGGCGAGCAGAAGAGUUUUCCUUUGGGGCCACAGCGGGAGAGGUUUGCGGGGGGGGGGGAGCUUCUUCCCCCGGGUGUCGGUUGCGGAUCCUGGGGUGGUGGGUGGGUAUGUGCCUUGUGAACCUGCGGCUCCUGUGGGAAAGAUAGUCGAGCGAUUAGUUCGUUUGUGUUUGCAGACCUCAUCCUUUGAUAUGUGCGUUAUGUCGGGGUAUUCGAGGAAGUUGGCUAAUUUUAAUGGGUUAACUUAGUUUCAGCUUGACUGUCAGUUAUCUAGUGGAGACACUGAUUCUCAGACCAUUUUGUUAAUAUUUUAUAGGAAGCUGGAAACAGUAUAAAGAAUAAAAUAAAUUUGGAUGUAAAACUUCUCACAAGGUCAAGAAACUCAAGAGGGGGACGGCCGCCGUGCAGCUGAGGCCCCGCCUCCAUUUCUACCUGUCCUGCAGGUAGGAGGCAUGUAAAAAGGGAAGGGACUGCAGACACCCCUGGAAAGGAACCACCUCCGGAUGUGCUCUUCUUGCACAGUUCCCCUCACCACGCACACAUGCACACACACACAGGGCAAUUAACCAGUGGAAUGGCCUUCAGACAUUGUGGGUGCUCCAUCACUGGGGGCUUUUAAGAAGAGACUGGACAGCCAUUUGUGUGAAAUGAAUCAUAAAUAUGUUGUACUCCCUCCUGCUACUUCCCUGCACAAAACAACAUCCCUGUGAAGUAGACCGGACAAGAGUGACUGGCUCAAAGUCACCCGUUUCCGAUGGUCAAGGAGGGAGGAUAGAAUUGGCAUCUCCUCAGGCAACAUUAAAAAAAAAAUCCCUUACAAACAACUUUAUCUUGACUACUCACGAACCAGUAUAUAGAACUACUUUUAUUUUCAAAGUUUUCAAAAUUAAAUCUUUUUAUACUUAAUAAAAAAAUACUUAAAUGUGUUUUAAAAUGUAAACGCAAGCUGAGAAUACUUUAAGCUGGGAAAUUUGUUUUGAACAGUUAAGAAAAAGAUUUAAGGUAUACUUUUCUUAAGCUUGGGAAGUAAUGAGAAUUAAACGCAAACACGUUCAACUACUUCUUUGGGAUGCAAGGCCUAGGCCCGAGGUGUUUUAUUUAAAAAAAAAAGUCCAGCGGUUAUUCCUGGCUAAGGAGAGCAGCUCCUUGUCUGAUCUCCCUCCGGGGGAUAUGACCCUUUUAAUGCUCUUUAGUUAAUGUAUUGGUGAUCUUUACUUAGGCAAAAUAAACAGUGUUGAGCUUUACAAAGAGGGGGCCGUGCUCCGCGCAUUGCCCUCUGACCUCAGGGUUACGGCCUUUGUUCCCUUCUCAAUGGGAAUUGCUCUCCAAGGGCCAUCACAAAAUGGAGAACUAAUUUGGGCCACGUGCUGGCCUGAAAGGGAAAAUGUAUCAGGAUAACUUCAUUGAGGCCUCCUCGGGUCUAACCUGGAGCUGCCAAGAAGCGAAAGGCAGGAGGGCACGCUGCGUGCUCCCUGCAAAUGUUGCGCUUCCCAGGGACGGCCAGAUCAAGUGGCCGAAAGCUCAGGAAUGAUACAAAUGGGAUUCACAAAGUCCAUGAUGUUUUGUCCUUUUUGAUAAAAUGCAACCUGAAAUUUCUGCAGAUUAUUAUUAUUUUAAAUAAUGGUCUUGAAUGUCAAUUUAUCAUACUCAGCCUUCCAGUUUAAACCCUUUGCUGGAAAUUCCAACAUCUUAUUAUUAAAAGGUAAUUGGGAUUAGAAUUUCCAAAAGUAUCAGACCAUGUAUUUUAGCUCCUGCAUACCCCAAAAGUGCCAAGAAGGAGGAGGAAAAAAAAAAAGAUCUUUGUAGCCAUGAGAAUUUUCUCUUCUGCUCAGAGCCCAGGCUGAAUUUAAAAAGAUCAACAUUUUUAAAUUCAGUAAAGAUUGGGCUACUAAACAGUUUGCCGUGUAGUUUUUCAUGGGCUUUCAGUUUGUAACAACAACAAUAAUAAUAAAUGAGAUUGAUGCUGAAUUCGCAGGAGUUGUAUGCCCUAAAUUAUAAAAAUUACUGAACUGUUGAAACUUCCAUUUAGUAAUUUUAUCUGAAAAAUAACAGGCAGCUCAAAAGUUGAGAAUUUAUUUAUGCCGAAAUAAACUUAUGCUCUAUGCCAAUAUUGUAGGAAGAGUGUGCUCUUCGCAAAAGAAAUGAAAUCUAUACUAUUUAAAAAACACACAAGUAGUUUAUCUUUUUAAAUUUUCUUUAUUUCACAGAAUCAGUUUAUAAAUAAAUUAAAGAGCAAUUUUACCUUCAUAGAGAAAAGAUUCCAAGAAAAACUCUUUGAAGCAAGAGAUUUUAGAAAAUGUCUGCUAUAAAAUAUAAUCUUACUCCACUAAAUUGUUUGAAGAAAAUAAUAGAAAGAAAAGCUCAGUUCAAAUUAAUGUAAUUUUUAAACAACCAAACUGUAUUCCUGACUUUUGCUGAAAUUAAUACAAAUGAAUGUUUAAGUAUAGUAACUGAUCUAAAGAUAAUCCUGAAGUUAUUGGUUUAAAAAGGCAAAAUGAGUUUUUAAUAUAGUUUAUAAGACAAUUAUGGUUUGCUGUCACAAAACAUAAAAUUCAUUGCCUUGUAUAUAUGUUUAUGUUUAUGUACAUAUACAAGUAUAUACACAUUUGUUUAUUUCUGAGGUAAUAUUUUUUUUAAAUAAACUGAAACUAUUACCUAAGUGGAUACGUACGUAGUAUUAGAACUUUCAUUUUCUAUUCCAGAGGAGUUUGUUUCAUAAAAAACAAUAUUUUAUUUUGGGAAACAUGCUAAAUGUUUUUGUGGAAUGGAUUUGUUAAAACUAAGAGGGACUGAAUAAGAAGAACAGUUUUUAAUGCAUUAUGAAAGGUCAGACUCAAAAUGGGGCUUUGCAGACUCUGAGCACAGCGAUUCAAUCCCUGGGCAGUCACUCAAAAGGCUUUUAAAGAAUCCCAGCCUUUUUAAUAUCAAUAUAGCCGUAGUUUGAACUACCUUAAUUCUAAAAAGUGAAUCGGACAAAAACAAUCACAAUUGCUCAUAAUCUGCAAUUAGAAAACCACGCAUAAUGGUUAUAACCAUUAUGCAAUAGCAUUUGUAGACAGCGGUGUCCAUGCAGGAGGUCAAAAAAGUCAAAAUGACAGCCGCAACAGUACAAUUAAAGCCCUGCCCCCUGUUUAGGUGGGUGCUUCAAUUGUGUGAUUAUGGCUACCGUAUUUUUUUUUUAAAAACUGUUUUCUGAACAUCACAUGUCUGUAAGAAAAAUGUGAUCUUUCAAGGGAAGGAAACCAACCAAAUUUCAAAUCCUAAUUGAGAUAGGAUUUUUGAGCUUUCAACCUGUUUACCAAAUUAUUUUUGCUUUUUACUAGAAUAAAAAAAGUUGAACAAUGUACAGCCAGAAUGUACAAGAAACACAGAUCCAUAUUAAGUUUGAAGAGUGCCAAGUUUCACAGAUGUUGGAGGAGGCAUUCCUGAACUAUGCACUUUUACAUUUUUAUUUUGUAAGAAAAACACAAUAAACCUUUCAUUCAGAGAUAGUAUAUAAGGAAAAUAUUGAUUCCAUACCUUGGAAAAGUGGAGUAGCUUCUGCCUUGAAUUAAUAAUACUUCAAUUCAAAACACAAACCCACUAUUUCUCUAUUAUUGAGAGGAGUUAAAUUUCCUACUUGGGUUGCACAGUUCUAUCUUUUAAGUCUUUUUUAAAAAAUUGCCAAAACAAAUGAAUCUGCUUUCAAAUUGCAUAGUGAUCUUUGGAUACUUUUUGCAUUACUGAUUGCACAAAUUCUAUUACUGCCAUUGUUUUGGUGAGUGCUCUUAAAGAAACAAGAACGUGAUGCAUAUUUUUAUAAAAAUAAUUCUGCAAUAAUGCCAAAGUUCUGUUAGACUGCUGGGAUAAAUAAGUAAUAAUCCGUUUUAAGACGUGGCUAUGUAAAUCGGCAAAUCUUGUCAGUUAACAUGGUUUUGGCUGAUUUCAAAGAUUUCAAAAGGCCUAAUUAAUCUUUGAAAGGAACACUACAAGGAAAUGCCAGCACUGUAGAGGAGAAAAAAGGAAUAAACCAGAAAAAAUGUGGUGGCAAACUGCUUUUAUAGAAUUUCCAAUAGCUGACCUCAUCUCAAAGGAAUCCCAACUUUAUUAGGGAUAAUUUAAAAA